GAUGAACGCUGGCGGCGUGCUUAACACAUGCAAGUCGAACGGAAAGGCCCAAGCUUUCUUGGGUACUCGAGUGGCGAACGGGUGAGUAACACGUGGGUGAUCUGCCCUGCACUUCGGGAUAAGCCUGGGAAACUGGGUCUAAUACCGGAUAGGACCACAUUUUGGAUGGUGUGGUGGAAAGUUUUUCGGUUUGGGAUGAGCUCGCGGCCUAUCAGCUUGUUGGUGGGGUAAUGGCCUACCAAGGCGUCGACGGGUAGCCGGCCUGAGAGGGUGUACGGCCACAUUGGGACUGAGAUACGGCCCAGACUGCUACGGGAGGCAGCAGUGGGGAAUAUUGCACAAUGGGCGCAAGCCUGAUGCAGCGACGCCGCGUGGGGGAUGACGGCCUUCGGGUUGUAAACUCCUUUCGAUAGGGACGAAGCGCAAGUGACGGUACCUGGAGAAGAAGCACCGGCUAACUACGUG
rnacentral:rRNA from 1 species